AUUGUCUCAUUGGCAAAAUGGGCUGAUUUUUCUUCGAAGUAUAGCAGCCGUACUGUCCGUCUCUCUUUCCGAAGCUCCCUAAAACCCUCAGAUGGGUUACCUAUUCAGAGCUUCAAAAAUCCUUAAACCCACGAAAUGCUUAUCUCCAUUUUCUACAAUAUUUAGAAGCAGCAACCCAUUUGAUAGUUUCGGCUUGAGUCAAAGAUUUUGCUCUCAUUCUCGCCUCAACAGUAAAGAAACUGCUGCGAUAGAUUUGAGUCAAUACCCAAUUGAAAAAAUAAGGAACUUUUCAAUUAUAGCCCACGUUGAUCAUGGAAAGUCCACUUUAGCUGAUAGGCUUUUGGAGCUUACAGGGACUAUUAAGAAAGGCCAUGGUCAGCCUCAGUACCUUGACAAGUUACAGGUUGAGAGGGAAAGGGGAAUAACUGUUAAAGCUCAAACAGCAACCAUGUUCCACAAACACAAGUUCCUUGGAUCCAAUGUUGAUGAUGUCAAUGAACCAUCAACGUUUCUGUUAAAUCUGAUCGACACGCCUGGUCAUGUGGAUUUUAGUUAUGAAGUGUCAAGAUCCCUGGCAGCUUGCCAAGGUGCUCUUUUGGUUGUUGAUGCAGCCCAAGGUGUUCAAGCGCAAACUGUUGCAAACUUUUAUCUUGCUUUUGAAUCUAACUUGACUAUAAUACCUAUCAUAAACAAGAUUGACCAACCAACUGCUGACCCUGAUCGUGUUAAAGCUCAGUUAAAAUCGAUGUUUGAUCUUGAACCUAGUGAUGCCCUCUUAACGUCUGCUAAAACAGGGCAGGGACUUGAGCAUGUCCUUCCAGCAGUCAUAGAGAGGAUCCCUCCCCCUCCUGGAAGCAGCAGUUCACCUCUGCGUAUGCUUCUGUUGGAUUCGUAUUAUGAUGAGUAUAAAGGUGUAAUUUGCCAUGUUGCCAUUGUUGAUGGGGCAUUGCGUAAAGGUGAUAAGAUUUCAUCUGCGGCAACUGGUCAAGCUUAUGAAGUGUUGGAUGUUGGGAUCAUGCAUCCUGAACUUACUCCCACUGGAGUCCUUCUAAGCGGACAAGUUGGUUAUGUGGUGACGGGUAUGCGUUCCACAAAAGAGGCACGUGUUGGGGACACACUAUAUCACACUCGAACUACUGUAGAGCCCCUUCCCGGUUUCAAACCAGCAAAACAUAUGGUGUUUUCUGGUCUCUACCCUGCAGAUGGAUCUGAUUUUGAAGCACUUAACCAUGCGAUUGAGAAAUUAACAUGCAAUGAUGCCAGUGUCUCUAUUAAUAAGGAGAGUAGCACAGCACUUGGACUGGGUUUUAGGUGUGGAUUCUUAGGCUUACUUCACAUGGAUGUUUUUCAUCAAAGACUUGAACAGGAGUAUGGCGCUCAUGUUAUUUCCACUGUUCCAACUGUUCCAUAUAUUUUUGAGUAUUCAGAUGGAAGCAAAGUUGAAGUUCAGAAUCCUGCUGCAUUGCCCUCAAAUCCCAAGAAACGAGUGACAGCUUGUUGGGAACCUACAGUUCUAGCAACUAUUAUUAUUCCUAGUGAGUAUGUGGGGCCUGUUAUUACCCUUUGCUCUGAGCGGAGAGGCCAGCAGCUGGAGUACUCAUUCAUCGACAGUCAACGGGCUUUUAUGAAGUAUCGGCUACCUUUGAGGGAAAUUGUUGUUGACUUUUACAAUGAAUUGAAGAGUAUAACAUCUGGCUAUGCCUCCUUUGAUUAUGAGGAUUCAGAAUACCAACAAUCUGAUUUGGUGAAACUUGAUAUCCUACUAAAUGGACAACCAGUAGAUGCCAUGGCCACAAUUGUUCACAAGUUGAAGGCACAACGUGUUGGUCGUGAACUGGUGGACAAGCUUAAAAAAUUCAUUGACAGGCAAAUGUUUGAGAUAACGAUACAAGCUGCAAUUGGAUCAAAGGUUAUUGCAAGGGAGACAAUCUCAGCAAUGAGAAAGAAUGUCCUUGCAAAGUGUUAUGGUGGGGAUGUUACUCGAAAGAGGAAGCUUCUAGAGAAACAAAAAGAAGGAAAGAAGCGAAUGAAGCGAGUUGGUUCUGUUGAUAUUCCUCAAGAAGCUUUUCAUCAACUACUGAAGGUUUCAUAGUGUAGACUAUGUCAGCAAGGAUGCUAGUAAGUUCUAAUGUAUUCAGUUACUAGGUAAAAUUCAACCCAGAUCUUGUAGUAGUGCUUGUAUUCUCUUGUGCCAAUGGCAGCUAAGAUCUUUUUGUCUAUGGUUUUCAUACUAAAUAAUAAACAAUGAAAGGGGUUUCUCUUUUCAACCUCGAUUGUUGAUACUUUGGCAGAGAGGGAAUUUUAAACUGUAUAAAGUAGUUGUAGCUACUACUUAGGUAAUGCCUCAGAGGCUCAGCCGAUAAAUAACUUCAGAGUCGGAAUUUGUUGCAUGCAUGUAUAACUGAAGAUACCUGGUAGCAGAAGCCGGUGGAAAAAUCCAAGCAAUGAAGAUGCAUUGACUCCAUUUUCCUGUAUACCUUUCGAUAAACUGCCCUAGUUUUUGGAUAUGGAUCAUAUUCUGAUUCAUUGACCCUAUUUGUAAAACAUUUUUCAUCCUUAACGACUAUGUUUUCACAGCAGUGUAAGAUUAUGGUAACUACUAGGAUGCCAUGGCGAUUUUAUCGGUCCUAAAGUCUCCAUUUAUUUUCAUUUUGUUGGAAAAGUCUCCACAUUAUUUGUUAUAGAAUUCUUUUAUUUACUGAAUAAGUUUUGUGAAUUGCAAAUGUAUUGUUUACUUGUCCUUAGAUUUUAUCUGAAAUUAUUCCACAAUAUCAAAUUUAUGGGCAUUUCUACACGAUACUAUGGGAGGAACAGAGUUGAGAAAUAAGUCAGAGUGAUACUCCUGAGUUACUUUAAUUGCAUACAUCAAUUUGAUUAAUAAUUAGAAGCGAAUUAAGGGAGUUGGCUGUAAUUAACCUCGGAACCUGAGAGCGGUGGAUGGAAUGAAGAAAUCACCUUGUUGUUUAAAUUGAUGCAUGCAAGUAAAUGUAACAUAGAAUGAUACAUUCGCCUGUAAUUUAGAUUUAAUUUCUAUUGU